rnacentral:lncRNA from 1 species
CACUGAGUCAUCUCACUAGCCUAUACCAUAUCUUCUACUUCCCCAAAGUUAUUUCUUAUGGGGCAGUGGGCCGUGCCAGGAAACUUGGUAAGGUAGAGCCGGUCUGAGAUCCCUGCACCCAGGUACCCACCUGAGAAGGUAGGCGCUCCUUGCUCCCUCCUAGAGUCCUGGCCCGCAACACGUGACCACACUCCCCAUGUUGGUCGUGUAGCCCAGAACAGAGUUCUCCAUGCUCAUGAGGUACCUAGAGGCCCUAAGGGUUUAACCAAUAAGCUUCCCUUCCCAGACAUUCCUCCCUGUAAAAGGUAUUUAUUAUCUGGUCCACCCCGAGGAGUUGGCAUCAUCCAUUUCCAUGGUGAACAGUUGAUAAAUGAUAUGGAUAAACAAGGACUGUCUCUUUCAUCAGGAACCACCAUGGGGAGUAUAGAGAAGGCCUUUGCUUACAGAGCCACAGUGACAGAAGGCUACUCUGCACUCCCGGACAACUGCUACCAAGCUGAGGACGAUCAAUCACCAAAGAGCUAAGCCGGAGCUCCCAUUUCCCCAGCCCCGGGCUCAUCAUCGCCCUCAGCCCAUGGCCCUGAUUCCAUUCCCAACUCUUCAUGAGCCAGUGGCGCCUGGGUGUCCAUGAGUUUGGGAGCACCCCGUCCCGGACUCAUUGCAGGCCUGUGGACCCGAGUGCUUCAUUCCCAACUUCUCUGUAUGGGUUUUCCGGCCCCAACUGGAUGCCUGGGUGUCAGGGAACCCAGCUUCGGCCUCCCACAUCUUAGGCUGUGUUUUCUUACCCCCUGAGUGGUGUCUAGGCGCUUCCCUAAUGCCUAGCAUCUGAGGCAGCAGCGCAGGGUAAAUGCAGUCUAGUAUGCUUCUUGAGUUUACCUCCCCAGUGGUGCCACCCAGCACCCAAGCAGUGGGGCAGAGCACAGACCCACGUCUGGCACUUCCGCAUUCUGCCUGCCCAAGCAGAGUAUCCCACACCCCAGUGGCGGGGCGGAUGUGGACCCACAAUUUCUCACUCUGUGAAUGUCUUUUUCUGCAUAUAAUCAUCAUGAAUGUAUGCAUGUGAAUGUGUACGCACAUACAUGUGGAGGCUGAAGGACAAUCUGGUGUGGCUGCUUGUAUUGCGAAUGCUAAUUAUGUUCCCCAUAAAACUGCAAGGAGCUUCUGGGAACCUGCCCCCAGUUGGUUCUGAUUGGUAAAUAGAGAUGCCAGCAGUCAAUAGCUAGGAAGGACAGACAGAGGCGGGAUUUUAGGACCCUGCCCCCUCUUGGGACCGGAAGCAGAGAGGAGAAGGAGGAGAUCCAUCAGGUUGGAAGAGUGUGGAGUGACGCCAUGCUUGAGAAGAGAGCAGGACAAAAGAGCACGGCCCUGAGGGUUGCCCAACAGGGUCUAGAGCGGCCAAGAUAGAACAUAGAAUUCAGUAAGUAGAAACUUGGCAUUUCUGCCGGGAGGUAGAUUCUAACAGCAUGGAGGUUAGGCAGUGGCCCAGCUCUUGUGCCAUUUAAGGCAUAUUAACAUAUAAAGGCUGAGUGUGCGUCUUUGGUCUUUCGUUUGGGAACAUUAACCAUUGGGGAUUGGGGCGAGCAAAACCCGGCCACCAGGAUUAAUAUUUAACGUUACAAUGUGGAGUGUCAGCCUCAGGAUCAUCACCCUCUCAUUUGAUUCAGGGUCUCUGAUGGGCCUAGAGCUCCCCAGUUAGGCUAAACUGACUGCUAGUGAGACCCUGGAGCCUCCUUUCUCCACGUCCCCAGUGUUGGGAUUACAAGCAUGUGUGAGGCCGUUCCCCCUCUCCCUUCUUUAUGGCCGUUUUACUGAGGUGGGGAGGAGGGGAGUUCAGGCUACUGUUUCCCAUUGGAGACCUUCUGGCGAGCUUUCUACCCGCUUCAGCAUAUCUCGUGCUUUCCCUUCUGUCUCACUGAUCUGCAGAGCGGCAGAGCACCUUGGCUGAACUGUCUUUGAGGACUUUCAUUGGGGCUCCAGCUGAGCACAUCACAAGGUCGAAGUUCACCAGUGACGUCAGUGUCAGUCAGUGUCACGGGGCACCGGUCACCAGCCGUUUGGUGUCUGUGGUCCCAAAGGCUCUGGUGUUUGAAUCCUUGGGCACCAAUUGGUUGUUGGAGGAAGUACAUCACUGAGGGUGGGGCUUGGGAGUUUCUAGCCUUCCCUCAUUUCCGGUCUGUUUUCUCUGCUUCAUGCUUGCAUUUGUGGGUAUAAGCAUGUAGCUUCUAGCUCCUGCCAUUAUGCCUGCAGCUCCCGGCCAUGCCUCCUGCCACAAUGGUUUUAACCCUGUGGAACCAUGGGCUCAAUUUUAAAUCUUUCCAAUCUAGAGUUACCUUGGUCAUGGUGGUUUAUUACAGCCAUGGGGAAGGAGUAGUUUCUAUCCCAUUUCCUGUCUCUCAGGAGCCAGGAGAAGAGGGACCUGAACAAGAGAGAGAGAAAGAGAGGAGAGGCUGUGGAGAUCUCGAGGACAGAUUCAGCUAGCCAUGACAUGCUGUCUGUGUUGUGGUAGUAAUGUUCUGAAAAUAAUCGUUUUUGUUGUUGAUAAAGCCUUCUGUAAAAUUUCAUGCUGAAGAUCCCAGGAGUGAGCAUCCAGUUCCCCUCAUAGUAGUAGAGAGAUGCCUCGAAACACACACACACACACACACACACACACACACACACACUCGUGCCAGCAAACCACUCUGGGAAGCCUUUUUUGAUAAUCUAAAAUAUCUUUUAACCAGUUUAAAAAAAGUGAGCCUUUGGGUUCAUCUUUUGAAAAACAAUCGAUUUUAUAUUUAAGCUCGUCUCUGUGUGCGAGCCCAGUAGGCCUUGUGUCCAUUCCCUGGUUAUGCCAUGGUUGGAUUCUAAAUGGUACAUACACUUCACCAGACUUGAAAACUGGUGUCACUCACUCAGGGGUCCUCCGGACUGACCUCCAAUCAGCUCCCUUCAUUUUGGAGACAGUAUUCCCCACUGGUGACUUGUAUCGGUACUUCUUUCUCUUAUCCAGUUCCCCAUAGGCGCAUGCAAAUCAUGUUGGAUUUGACCUAGUAGCCACAUUCUAAUUUGCUGGCGUGAUGUGGUACGUAACUCAGAUGGACUUUAAGACUCAUCAGAAGGCCUUGCUGUGCAAUUGGAAGUCAGACUGUCCUUUAUGGAUGGCCUCGUGCAUGGCUGAUCUAAAAUGUGCUCCCACCCAUCGGAAAUCCUCAUACUAUUUUCCUUUCAUUAGAGGAGAAAAACAGAAUUCAGCUGGACAUACACACUGAAAUGAGAUCCUUAAAUAAACAGUCCGGGGCUUAAUAAUUUAUGGGAAGAUGCAAGGGGAAAUGAGGAAAAGAAUAGAAUCAGAGUAGACAAACACCACGUCCCUUUGAACUGUCCCACACGAAUCAUCAGAACUGUGUGUCUCCAAUGUACAGGGCUAUUAAUGAGGUGGAAGGCGUUGGGGGUGGAUAAAUAAUAUAUCACACGGAAUCCACAUCUUCUGUGGACACCGGAGACCGCUGACACCUAUCAAUUUGUCUUACACCAGGUGCUAUGAAUUCACUCUGCUUGCAGCUUGUCAAUCUCUGCUUUAGGCUUAAUAAAUGUUGUGAUUUGCUGUGUGUGCUUUUUAAAAAAGUAUUGUGGUGAAAUGCAAAAGUAAUUACAAAAAAAAAAAAAAAAUCAGCCAGACCGGUGCUGCUGGUGUGGAGGCAGCCUGCGCAGUGAUGUAACUCCUCAUACAUCAUUUCCACAGCUCUCAACCUCACAGUUUAGGGAAAGAAAAAGACCGUCGGGAAACUUCCCGUUAAAAGACUCUACACACUGAUUAGGGUAUCCGUGGUUGUAGAUAGGAAAACAUUAUCAUUGUUCCCGUGAGGAAGUUAUGGGGAGGGAUAGGAAACAGAGAGUCAGGAAGUAGGUGACAGGAAGUUAGAUAUCCACCCAAACAGCAAAACCGGGUUAUAUAGAGCU